rnacentral:lncRNA from 11 species
AAUAUGCCUUUUUAAAAGCAUCUCCUUGGAAAAGGCUGUGUGCAAUAGAGAGCUGGUGGUCUACGUAUGUGGAAAAGAGGGUGAGUGGGUGUAAAGAAGAGGGAAGUGUCACCUUCGGUUGCUUGGUAACGUCUCCUUGGCCGUUCUGGUAUCAGAUAAAAGAAGUCCAGUCGAUGUUAUACAUUAUUCAUCAGAGUUCCAAUCAAACAAUCCCAAUUAUUUGCUUACACUGGGGGACAUCUAGCCAGAUCAAAAGAACUCUGACUGGAAACAACACGACCUUUCACCACCGGGACAUAUCUCUUGAUACAUACUUUUGCAGAAGUAGGCUACAAUUCUUGGAGAACCCGAGGGGAAUCAACAACUGAAGUCCUCCAAAAUGGAUAGUCCUUUCAAGAUGAACUACUUGUUAGAUGUUGAUUCUGCCUACCGGUUGUUUUACAGCCAAGGAGCACAAGCUCGCCGGGCGACCCUGCUCACCGUACCCACCUUAAUGGCGGCAUCUUCCGAGGAGGACAUCGACCGGAGACCCAUCCGGAGAGUCCGGUCCAAGAGUGACACCCCUUACCUCGCCGAGGCCAGGAUCUCCUUCAACCUCGAGGCAGAGCUGCAGGAAGAAAACGCCAGGCAACCAGUAGCACUAGGCGCUGUUCGCUCCAGUGUGGUGCUGAAUGGGAAUGUCUACAAACCAAAGCAAAGAAUAGAUCUCCUACAGUGAAGAAUUGUUUUAAGAAACUCCAUGUAUUGAGGCCUGGUUGUAAAAGCGUACAACUGAGCAGUAAUGCAUUUUGAAAGAGAAAAUUGUGCUCUCUAUGUGUGUCUGUCUGUUG